AGUGGCGGACGGGUGAGUAAUGCGUGAGCAACCUGCCCUUCGGAGGGGGACAACAGUUGGAAACGACUGCUAAUACCGCAUAAUGUAUCGAGAAGGCAUCUUCAUGAUACCAAAGAUUUAUCGCCGAAGGAUGGGCUCACGUCUGAUUAGUUAGUUGGUGGGGUAAUGGCCUACCAAGACUGCGAUCAGUAGCCGGACUGAGAGGUUGACCGGCCACAUUGGGACUGAGAUACGGCCCAGACUCCUACGGGAGGCAGCAGUGGGGAAUAUUGGGCAAUGGGCGAAAGCCUGACCCAGCAACGCCGCGUGAAGGAAGAAGGCUUUCGGGUUGUAAACUUCUUUUAGCAGGGACGAAGACGUGACGGUACCUGCAGAAUAAGCUCCGGCUAACUACGUGCCAGCAGCCGCGGUAAUACGUAGGGAGCAAGCGUUAUCCGGAUUUACUGGGUGUAAAGGGCGCGUAGGCGGGAGUAUAAGUCAGAUGUGAAAUCUGGAGGCUCAACCUCCAAACUGCAUUUGAAACUGCUUUUCUUGAGUAUCGGAGAGGUAAUCGGGAUUCCUUGUGUAGCGGUGAAAUGCGUAGAUAUAAGGAAGAACACCAGUGGCGAAGGCGGAUUACUGGACGACAACUGACGGUGAGGCGCGAAAGCGUGGGGAGCAAACAGGAUUAGAUACCCUGGUAGUCCACGCUGUAAACGAUCAAUACUAGGUGUGCG
rnacentral:rRNA from 1 species